rnacentral:rRNA from 1 species
AACGUAGGUGGCAAGCGUUAUCCGGAUUUACUGGGCGUAAAGCGUGUGCAGACGGAUGGACAAGUGGUGUAUGAAAGCGCUCGGCUCAACCGGGGCAAUGGUAUGCCAGACUGCCCAUCUCGAGCCAGAGAGAGGGACGUGGAAUUCCGGGUGUAGUGGUGAAAUGCGUAGAUAUGCGGAGGAACACCGAUGGCGAAGGCAAUCCCCUGGGCCUGCACUGACGCUCAUGCACGAAAGCGUGGGGAGCAAACAGG